rnacentral:lncRNA from 10 species
AAAUAAGGAACUCGGGUGCUGUCAGGAGGGCAUUGACCAGGGGCGCACGCGGCCGCCCACCGCCCUCCACUCGCUUUUCAAAGUCUGCAGGCCCAUUAAGGCUUUUGCAAAUCGGACGCGGCUUGUUUAUUUUUGGCCCCAAGUGGGGAACGCUGUGGGAAAACGGUCUGGAGCUAGGAGAGAGGCCCCUCCCUCGCCCCCCGGGGCUCUCCGCUGGGCAGGGAGGGAGUAGCCCGGGAGGCGAAGGAGGGCAGGGCGGGGGGCGCGGGGCGCCACGGCGGGGCAGGGAGGGAAGGUCCCGGCGGCCGGCCGGCCUCGGGGCUGUUUUUGUCCGCUUUCCGGGGGUCGUGAGGGGCCGGUGGCCCGGCAACAGUGGCUUCAGUUACCACAGGACAACACAAGAUAUACAGCCCAUGGCAUAUCCAGUAACCAGGAAAACAAGCAUUCUCACGACCCAGCCGAACUCCUUCUAACCAUCAACCUGAAAUUCCAGCUUUAUCAAGACUCAUAAAGUAAUUGUGCAUGCUUCUUGCUCAAUCCCUACCAGGAAACCUGUAUCUACCAGGAGUUGUCAUAGAAUAAGAAGUUCAAAAGCUGGAAGAAAUCUUCAGGGUCAUAAUUUCAGCCUCCUGCUUCCAGACAGAACUAUUUCUCCACCACUGAAAUGCAUAUAGAUUUUGAAAAAAUUUCCAGACAUAACCUUUCUUAAGUGUUUGGUUUCAGGAGUCCUGGUAGAGUAUAUAAAAAUGAUGACAUUCUUUGCUAUAUAUUUGAAAAAAUUUUUUAAACUUCUGAAAAACUGAUUGUAUUCUUUUUGUUCUGAUGAAAAGAUGUAAAUUCAGAAGAAAACAAUAAGAAGAUGAAAUAAACUCAGGAUGAGGAAAAUAAUCUAAAAAUAGUUAUUAAAAUUGAAAUUUCCUCCUAUGAAAAUUUGGAUUUCUGAUACUUAAAAAUAUAUGUCUACAUUAUGAAUACAACCAGUAAAAAAAUCAUGUGUUAUAAAGACAAGAACUAGCAGAGAUCACAGGAAAAUAAAAGGUUUGAUUUGCUGAAGUGAUCAGGACAGUAGGUGAAUUUUUUCUUUAAUAUUGGUUUGCAUAAAUUGCCUACCAGCUAUAAUAAGAAUUCUUUUGUAACAGAACAUGAUAUUUUGUGUUGUGUUACUGAUGCUUGGGUUGGACUGAUUCCUUGUGAAAGAAAUCAUGAAAUCUAACAGCUCCUCCUAUAAGGAAAAGUGAUUUCCCAACCACCUGUCUGGAAGGUUUCUUGCCCUCUUUUGUGUACUGUUCCCCCUAAUCUCUAAUUCCAGCUAGCUUAAGUUAGUGCUUUAUCGUUUUGGAAUGACCUGAUGACAGGGAAUAAAAACUUCAAAAUGUU